rnacentral:lncRNA from 1 species
CCUGUCCCCCCCCCCCCCCAGUAUGGCCAUGAGAGUCCAAACAGGUUCGCCACCACUGGCCUAGAGGGUCACCCAGCCCCUUCCUGCUCCAUCAUAGUCCAACCUUGCCGCUCAGGAAGAGAGGACUCUGCGGGACACUUAUUUUUAAUUCCAUCCAACUUCCUGACAGCUCACUACUCUGGGCGGUGAAUAUUGAGAAAAUUAAAUUGGCAAUAAUUGACCUUUUCCUUUCAACAGCAACAUAAAAUGACAUAAUGAAAAAAAGAACAUGGCACAACAACAUUUGACCAAGAGUCACAAGCUCAAAAGAGAAAAUUAAAACUCCAAAAGAAGCAAUACAUUGCUAUUUCAGCAGCAAGCUGUUUUUAAAGGCCUCUUCAUAGAGUUCUACAUUCACCCAUUUUCUAAAGAUAGGGAGGAACUGGGCCUGGCGUAUAGAUCUAGGGCAGGGGGAUCUCCAAACGUUCCAGAUGGAGGGCCAGAUCAUAUAUGAUCCACAUUUUCAAGGGCCAAAGGAACACACGCACACGUCCACAUGCCCGCCUGAGCCUGUGCCAUUCACCAAGCUGGAUAAAAAGACCUCUGGUCUAGUGGAAGGGAGUCCCACCUACAAGAAGGCCCAGUUACACUUGGAAAUUUUCUGGCCUCUCUCAGUGUGUCUGCACAGAGAAGCCAGGCCCAAGAAGAUGUGACACAGUAGUGGGUGCAAAUGCAUCCAGGGCCCUUGCACAACGCUUGCGGGCCUGAUCAGGUGAACUGUGGGUCAUUCCCGUCCCCAGUUAGAAGGCAACACUGCGUCAAUACUGAAGGAUUCCCACAGGAGAGGAAUCCCAUCAAUGCAUGGAGUCCAGAAAGCGCUUCAGUUGGAGAAGAGACCAUCAAAGGAUUCUUACAGGAGUGAAAGCCUAUAAAUGCUGAGUGGGAGAAAGCCCUAGAUCGAAUUUUUUUUAAAAAAUUGCUUCCUAGGUUUGAAUUUUUUUUCCAAGUUGAGAUCUUUUCAUGCAUCUAUUUACACUGCUUUGCCCUGAGGCUUGCCAUUUAUUUAAUUAAUUUCUACACCAUCCAUCUAGUGGCAAGACACGACUCCUGGGCAGAUUA